rnacentral:tRNA from 1 species
UCUUCACUAUCGCAAUUGGUGAGCGCGCGGUACUUAUGACGCCGAGGUUGUGAGUUCCAUCCUCACUUGGGGAA